GCCGAAUAUGGAGUGUUGCUGAGCAACUAUCUUCAACUAUUCCCGUUACGGCUGGUAUGUACUUCCAAAAAAAAAAAGUAAAUAUAAAAGUGUUGAGGCAACCGAUAAAAAUGCUUAUUCGGCACAUCAGGUCGGAAGUCUACAACAGCUCAAUACAUUGGAUGUUCCGAAGAGGCAUUUUUUUUCAGUUGCUUGUACAUUUUUAUUUUGACAUACCGGCCGUAAAUGAAGAUAAUUGCUCAGCGAAACUCCAUAUUUGGUGAGGAAGGUAGGGUUUUCACUAACAACGAAUUCAUGAGAAGUUCCACCCCCAUUCAUUUUCAACGAGGGCACGCAGAGAAAUGAGCGGCGAGAACCCUGCUAGCGGAGCGGUAGAAAGUUGACCUCCGGCUCUACCUUUAUGCAAAGCGAAGAUUUGGAGCGAAGCACUGUCAAUAGGAGGCGCCGCUUCUGAUUUUGUCCCAGGACAGGGCAGCCAGGGGUCGUGCAUCAUGGAGUCCUUUAAAUGGUGACGUAUUAAUGCAGGAUCGCGAAUCCAUCGUCCUGCUGUGGAAUAGCGGAACCAUUAUCAGGCAAUGGACCUACUUUCAUAAAAGUUCUCUAACAUUAGACUUGUUUUUAUAAUUUCUCUAAAUUCUGCAAGAGGAGGUUUAUGUUACCCGCAUUUGUCAGCAAUUCAACUGGACCAUUUCACAACCUCUCAACUAGCUUCAGCCAUGAGGACCCUUGUCGUUGGAAUUGGAGGGAUGACCAAUGGGGGGAAGUCGACCAUGUCCAGUAGUCUGCACCUGCGGAUCCCCAACAGCUGCAUCAUAGCACAGGAUGCUUUCUUCAAGGAUGACUCUGUGAUAGCUGUGGACAGCAAUGGGUUCAAGCAGUAUGAUGUGCUUGAUGCGCUCCACAUGGACAGAAUGAUGAGCAAGAUUGAAUCAUGGCGGAAGGACCCCGGCUCAUUCCUGGCAUCUCAAAGUCUGAGAACACAAUGCUCUGUAGGAGAGGAGGUGUUUGUGCUCAUCGUUGAGGGCUUCUUGAUCUUCAACUACGGGCCCUUGAACGAAUUAAUGGACAAGAGAUACUUCCUUGAAAUUCCUUAUGACGUCUGCAAAGAGAGGAGAGGCUCGAGGGUGUAUACACCCCCUGACAUGCCAGGGUACUUUGACGGAUAUGUGUGGCCAAGGUACCUGAAAAACCGGCAAGAGAUGGAAGACAUGGUAUCGGAUAUUGUCUUUUUGGAUGGAUUGAAGUCAAAGGAGGACUUGCUGGAUUAUGUGCAUGGGGAUGUAACCAUGGAAAUACAGAGUCUCAUGGGGAAAGACUAAGCAGUUUGAUUUCUCAAACGGUUGCUGGAAUCUGGAAGAGUAAAAGAGACAAUGUGUUCAGAAACUGAUGUGUUGAAACUUAGACUAAUGUUUACAGCCACAAGAGAAAGACAGGACACACACACACACACACACACACACACACACACACACACACACACACACACACAGUGCAGAACAACCUUUCAUGUUAAAUCCAUGUUACUUUUACUCCAGUGAGGUAAAUCUUGUUUACAUAGUUUUUUAACUUAGAAAGUAUUUUUGCAAUCUAAAGUACAUUUGUUUUGUUCAAUCUAUAAUGGUUAUGUACAUAGUUAAGGAGUGCAAAGUCUAGAAGCAGUGCAGACUCUUGACUAGUUAAUAUGUGCGGCAGGUAGCCUAGUGGUUAGAGCGUUAGACUAGUAAACGAGAGGUUGCAAGAUCGAAUUCCCGAGCUGACAAGCACUCCUCCUAUGCAGGCAAUCAUUACACUGUUCAAAUAUGGGGGCUUGCCAGUACCAAACAAACAUGUCAAAGUUCAACCACUGACAAUCCCAAAUGAAGGACACCACCCGAUCCUGAGUAUAUAGACAGAUUUUGGUACAAAGAGCCCAUAGCUGCUGUCUAUAGAGUUACCAAGAUGAGGACAGCCUUGUGUUUGUGGAUCGUCAUGGCAGUGCUCUGCCCAGGAGAGGUCAAAGGUCAUAAAGGUCACGGAGGUGACCACCACCAUGGUCAGGGGCUUGACCAUGAUCACGGGCGCGAUAACGACCACGGGCACAGGCGAGACCACGAACACGGGCAUCAUGACCCUGAGCCCGGUGACAAUGGUACCAAACCAGUGGUACAAGGUAAUGGGGGGUUUGCCUUCAGCCUGUACAAGCAGCUGGUGGUUCAGCCUGACAACCAGGGCAAAAAUGUGUUCUUCUCCCCACUGAGUGUGUCCCUGGCCCUGGCUGCUCUUUCCGUGGGGGCCAGGGGUCAGACCCACCAGCAGCUCUUCACUGGUCUGGGCUUCAACAGCAGCCUACUGACACAA